AAUUGCUGGAUGGAUGAUAAGAGUAUGUAGUUUUAUAAGAAACUGUCAAACUGUCUUCAAAAGUAUCUGUACCAUUUGCAAUCCCACUAGCAAU
rnacentral:pre_miRNA from 1 species